UUGACCUCAAAUCAGGUAGGACUACCCGCUGAACUUAAGCAUAUCAAUAAGCGGAGGAAAAGAAACUAACAAGGAUUCCCCUAGUAACUGCGAGUGAAGCGGGAAAAGCUCAAAUUUGAAAUCUGACGGUUCUUGAUCGUCUGAGUUGUAAUCUAGAGAAGUGUUACCUGUGCUGGACCGUGUUCAAGUCUCCUGGAAUGGAGCAUCAUAGAGGGUGAGAAUCCCGUCUUUGACACGGACUGCCUGUACGCCGUGGUGCGCUCUCAAAGAGUCGAGUUGUUUGGGAAUGCAGCUCAAAAUGGGUGGUAAAUGCCAUCUAAAGCUAAAUAUUGGCGAGAGACCGAUAGCGAACAAGUACCGUGAGGGAAAGAUGAAAAGUACUUUGGAAAGAGAGUUAAACAGUACGUGAAAUUGCUGAAAGGGAAACGCUUGAAGUCAGUCGUGUCAGCCAGAAAUCAGCCUUGCUUUUGCCUGGUGUACUUUCUGGUUUGAUGGGUCAGCAUCAAUUUUGGCCAUCGGACAAAGUCUUUGGGAAUGUGGCAUCUUUGGAUGUGUUAUAGCCCAUUGUCGCAUACGGUGGUUGGGAUUGAGGAAUUCAGCACGCCUCGCAAGGGGCCGGGUAUUUAUACCACGUUCGUGCUUAGGAUGCUGGCAUAAUGGCUUUAAUCGACCCGUC
rnacentral:rRNA from 1 species